rnacentral:misc_RNA from 1 species
GCAGCUUCCACAACCCACAUAUACUACAGCUUCUAUAUCGCGAUCGUUACUCCGGUGUACAGACCACGACCAGCCGGACCUUAAACUCUUCGAUUUCCACCAUGUCCUCCGCAACCUUACCCACAGCGACCUCCGGUCUUUAUCCCCACAACAAAUCAGUUUCCAAGCAACACAGGGUAUUCCCCAAACCCAAAUCAUUUUUAUUCUCAAAAUUUUCUUCCUCAACCUCAGCACACUUACCCUCCAUCCUUCACUCCCAGACCUAAUUUCCCAAAUAUUCCCUCAAUUUCUUCAACUUUUCCCCCAAAUUUUGCACCCAAAUAUUCCCUGAAGGUAUUUUAUAUGGUAUGGUCCCUGCUCCAUCAAGAUUCUUGGAUCCACAACAGUUGCAGCCUAAUCCUGAUUUUCUGGUAUGGGAAAGGUGAAGGCCCCAUGUCAACCCUGUUGGGAUAUCAUUUGCGCUUCCGAGGAAUCGAUGCUUCUGGAAAUUAGCCAAUAUUGAUUCAAGAAUUAAUAUCUAUAUACUUCUAACCAUUAUUUGUUGGUUUGUCUUGGAGGGAUACAGUUUUCUAGUGUUAU